rnacentral:rRNA from 1 species
AGUGAACGCUGGCGGUAGGCCUAACACAUGCAAGUCGAACGGCAGCACAGUAAGAGCUUGCUCUUACGGGUGGCGAGUGGCGGACGGGUGAGGAAUACAUCGGAAUCUACUUUUUCGUGGGGGAUAACGUAGGGAAACUUACGCUAAUACCGCAUACGACCUACGGGUGAAAGCAGGGGAUCUUCGGACCUUGCGCGAUUGAAUGAGCCGAUGUCGGAUUAGCUAGUUGGCGGGGUAAAGGCCCACCAAGGCGACGAUCCGUAGCUGGUCUGAGAGGAUGAUCAGCCACACUGGAACUGAGACACGGUCCAGACUCCUAUGGGAGGCAGCAGUGGGGAAUAUUGGACAGUGGGCGCAAGCCUGAUCCAGCCAUACCGCGUGGGUGAAGAAGGCCUUCGGGUUGUAAAGCCCUUUUGUUGGGAAAGAAAAGCAGCAGGUUAAUACCCCGCUGUUCUGACGGUACCCAAAGAAUAAGCACCGGCUAACUUCGUG